rnacentral:rRNA from 1 species
AACGAACGCUGGCGGCGUGCCUAACACAUGCAAGUCGAACGAGAAAGGGGCUUCGGCUCCGAGUAAAGUGGCGCACGGGUGAGUAACACGUGGGUAACCUGCCUCUAAGAUUGGGAUAACUCGUCGAAAGAUGAGCUAAUACCGAAUAAGACCACAGUUCCCGCGGGAACAGGGGUCAAAGGUAGCCUCUGCUUGCAAGCUAUCACUUAGAGAUGGGCCUGCGCACCAUUAGCUAGUUGGUAGGGUAACGGCCUACCAAGGCAAAGAUGGUUAGCUGGUCUGAGAGGAUGAUCAGCCACACUGGAACUGAGACACGGUCCAGACUCCUACGGGAGGCAGCAGUGGGGAACAUUGCGCAAUAGGCGAAAGCUUGACGCAGCAACGCCGCGUGAGUGAUGAAGGCCUUCGGGUCGUAAAGCUCUGUCGGGAGGAACGAAUGCUCCUGAGGUUAACAGCCUCGGGAGGUGACGGUACCUUCAAAGGAAGCACCGGCUAACUCUGUG